rnacentral:ncRNA from 14 species
GGGCAUAGUUUAGUGGCAAAAUAUUAGUUUUCCAAACUAAUGAUGGGGGUUCGAUUCCCCCUG